ensembl:lncRNA
UGACCAUCACACCCAUAUGUGGUUCUUCUCCAAACUGUUGCCACAAAAUUGGAAGCACACAGUUGUCUUAUCUUUGUAUGCCAUAGCAUUACAAUUUCCCUUCACUGGAACUAAGAGGCCCAAACCUGUUCCAGCAUGACAAUGCCCCUGUGCACAAAGUGAGCUCCAUGAAGACAUGGCAGGAGUCUUGACCUCCACCCCACUGAGCACCUUUGUUCACCAAUGUUCCAUUGUAAACCCCCCCCCCCCCCCCCCAUUCACAAAAUGAACUCUGAACCUUUAGCAUCACUAUAUACAGCUGUUUAUUUUCUCAAAACAUUUAUUUUACUACAUACAAAGCACAAAAUAAAGGUGUAAUGGAACGACUUUCAGCAAGGUAAGAGAGUCAUCAACACAAAAUGGACGAGGACAGAAUCUACGGAAAUAUGGCAAUACUAGUUGAUUUGAGCAUGAAUACCUUUACAACGUUAAGCCUAGCCGUUUGAGUCUGCAUGGUAUUUGACACGAGCUCUAUGCGAGUGUUUUAGCUUAAUAUCGAGUAGCUUGGGAUUGUAGAAAUACACAAGAUGAGAUUACAAUGUUUGCAUGUAUGUGAGUUAGCUGUACAGGCAUCAGGAAAAGGAAAAAAAACAAAACAAAAAAAAAACAGUCAUGAACCCUCUGCAAUGAUCGGGAUUUCUGCACAAACAGAUCCUAAAAUCUGGUUCAGAAUCUUCCUCUCUUCAUAGGAGGAAAUCAAUAAAGUGCAUAUAUUUAGGUAAGUUGUUUAAAAAAAAAAGAGAAAAAAUAAUAAAGGUCACUGAUGGUGAUACAUGUGAAUCCUUGUAUUUAAAGAUUUGAGGAACCUCUUCAACCACAUGCUUUUUGUAGUGCCUUAUCAAUCUUGCACUGUUUCUGAGGUAUCUUGGGAUGUUAAGUCUGAGUUCUAGAUCUUCCUCAGACAUCUUGAUGUCUUGCUGUAGAACUUUCUGAGAACAUGAUUCCUUGAUUGAUCUGGUCGACGCUUUUAUCCAACGUCACUUGCAAGUUAGGCUCGACAAAACCCAAGCAUCUGUGGGUUACAACCGUGCAGUUGUGCGUUACACACCUCUCUCGAAAUCACACCAUUGACUUUCUGGCAGUUGUGGUCACUUGUCCGAACCAAACCUGGACCGCUCGGCAUUAGCAUUAGCAUUUUUAAUGCGCGACGUGGUUUCUUAACCUCCAGCGAACACUUCCGUUCUUCUUGAGGGUUCCUCAUGACUUGUUUGAGGAUUCUCGAGAUAUUUGUAGGACACCCACUCAUUGCCAGAGCAACUAUUGUGGGAUGAUGGAAGCUGAAAUCCUUCCAGAAUUCUCAUGAGAUCCAGGAGCACUUGCUCACUUGCAUGGAGAACCUUCUUCCAGUUACGCUUUUGUCAUCUUCAUUAUGGUUCACAUACAUUUUUUUUUUUCCAUCAAUGACCUUGAUUAUUUCAGAAUUUGUUAACCAGACAUUUUAAGAUCCAUUCCUGGAGAAACCAUGGAAUUCCAAAGUGUUCAUGAAGUUGUAUUUAGGAAAGCUAAGGAAUGGUCCACUAAAAUCCACAUCACCCACAACUGGUCCAGGUGGAACUUAACGGUCAGGCUUUCCCUCCUCUGAGUAAUCAGGAAAUCCACAAAACGGUUAACUUUGAAUUGCUGGUUACAUACGCUCAGAAAAAUAAAGGGUACUAAACUGUACCUCGACGGUACCACUCCACUGACAAGCAAGUAUACAUUUUGUGUAUCUUUAACAAGACAUGGUACUGUUGAUGUAGUUUCACAUAAUUGAACCUCGAGGACCAAUCCUGUACCUAGCGUUUUGACUAAUACUUCAAAGCUGCACAUGAAAAUGAAUCUUUAUUGUAAAAAAUACAUACUAAAUGGUACAAAAUGUAUAUCCUUAAGAGUGACAAGUAAACGUACAGUUUAGAACCCUUUCUUCUGAACGUGUAUGAUCUGGGAUCCGAUAAAAUACAACUGUCAAGUUUCCUUGAAUUCUGAAUGCUAGGAGAUGAAUCCAAACCUGGACGGAUAAGUAUGGCAGUAGACGGUAUUUUAUUGUACGUAUGUGUUCAGUACAUAUGCUGAUGUGAAAAAGUUCAGGGGAAAACCUGACCAUUCAGAGUGCACCUGUAUCUCCAGCGGAUCGGUCUCAGACAGAACUGGGUCAGGCUCAGCACAAAACUCGUACUGAUUUGCAAAUUUCAUUAUCCACAUUGUACACAUGACCACAUUCUGAAAAUGAUACAACAGUGAUACAAAUAUACAUAUGGUUUGUUUCUGUCUUUGUAUGUAUUCUUUUUUUAAAGCCUGAGUCAUAAAUUUCACGAUUAAAUCGAUGCGCAGUAAGUCUAACAUAUUGCAUAUCUGACCUUCACUAGAUGAAUGCAUGGUAUUUCUUAUUGGCAGCAUGAAUAUGACAUAGUAAGAAACAUUUUCCUUUAACAUUUUCUAGAUAUUUUUGACUAUUCUGCUUCAAAAUGAUAAUAAAACACCAUGCUCAGCUUUGUACCUGAGAGAAUGCACAUGCAGCUGUACAGUAUACAGUGUAUGUAUGUCUUGUAUAUGUAUGUAUGUAUGUAUGUAUGUAUGUAUGUAUGUAUGUCAGUCAUGUAUCAGACAGACCUAAUGCACAUAGCUUCGAGGAAAAUAAGAUUAAAAUGUUAAGACCAAAAGUAAGGCAGCUGACUCCAGGACUUUGUCUUUCCACAUGUCUGUCUGAGACGAGUGCGUGGAUCUGCAGCUUUCCUUCGUGAGCUUUCCCUCCCGAGUUUGGCUUUGAACUUCCUUCAGACUAUAUUACGGAUGCAUCGAUACCACUGUUUUGAUUUCCAGACCAGUUGUGUUUUUUUGUUACUCAUCGAUACCGAUUGCAAAAUGAGUAACCUGCGUUCGUGUUAAUCAAUCGUGGAACAAUUUACGUUUAUGUUUCCAUGGCUUGGCCAUGUUCAUGCACUUGGACGACCAGGGUACAUUGUAAGCUUUGAUCGAGUAGGGUUGCAGUGGAGAGCGGGUUUUGUUUGGAAGUCCUCGUUGUCAAGGACAAAUAGUGGCUGAUCGUCAAGAACAGCAUACCGGGUACAAGCUGUUCUUGUCGUUCAUCUGGCAUUGUGAAACGCUCGUGAAAUCUACACUGUCAGUUCGUGCAAUCUGUUCGUUGACAUGACGACGUGCACCAGGCUUACAUCUCAGUGCAUCACCUGGUAUCAGAUAUUGGCAUGAGAGCAAAUUUUAUGAGAAAAAGUACGACUAAUCAGAUAACUACUGGUAUCGAUGCAUCCCUACACUAUAUACAACCAUAAUCUAGACUCAACCAGGUUUACAGAGCUAUAAAACUCUCAGUCUUUUGUAGUCCCCGGUUCUAGAACCCGCAAAAAGCGUUUACUCUCGUUCUAGAACAAUCGGCAGGGUAGCAAUUCCCCAACGCUAAGUUCAGUGGUUCAGUCUUGCUGUGGAGUGCAGGUUUAUAUGUAAAUGUUGUUUGGCAGAACCAUUUGGACCUGUCCUGCACUUCUUCUUGCGUUAGAACUCACCACUUUAACCCUGACACUCUCCCCAAAUAAGGCUUUGGGUUUCAGGCACACAGAGGUACUGUUAACUGAGCUAGCAUGUAGAUGUCUCAAAAUAAAAAAACAAAAAAAAAAAAAACAAGAAAAAAAGAAAAAAAAACAGAUGCAGAUUCGAUUUUUAACAAAAUAUUAUAAACAAUCAUAAUAACACAAUUCCAAAGACGGAUAAAGAGGAGAGAGAGAGCUGUACAGGCAAGACUGCUGAUACGUGAUGUGUGUGUGUGUGUGUGUGUGUGUGUGUGUGUGUGUGUGUGUGUGUGUGUGUGUGUGUGUGUGUGUGUGUGUGUGUGUGUGUAUGUGUGUAUGUGUGUGUGUGUGUGUGUGAAAACCAACAUUGUACGGAGGUAGCACAGGAGGAUUGAACCAGCAAAGGAAGCCUCCGGAAAAGGAGAGCAGCAACGCCAUGACGACUGAAUGAAUCCGUCAAGGUGUGAGUGAACGAUAAAUACAAUCAGAGUGAGUUUGGUAGACAUGAGGCUUGAAACGUUUCCUUGUUUUUCUGCGUAACUGCAUAACUGAACGCAAGGCGAUAUCUGUCUUACCCUACGUACACACGCUAGCAGGCGACAAGUCGGGCUGUCCUGUGAUCCGAUGAGAAAUAGAACACGAACGAAAUAAUGCACUAAUCAGUGUGAAAAUUGGUUGUUUUAAUUGAAAUGUUACAUGCUAGGUCUUGUUCUAGCUUCACUGGCAGAUUAGCAGUGCAAGCUGACCGUCCUGGCUAAGUUCACUCCCCAGAGACACCAACGACCUCUAUUACUUCCAUGCUUUCCUCCAUAAUGCCUCUAUACGCAUUUAACAAGUGUUCGUAUAAGACCAGAUAAGACGAAAGCGUUAAUAAAUUGCGGUGAAUUCAUUCAUUAACUGCUAGAGCCAGACGUUUGGAUUUGCCACUACACCGCGAUUUCUAAUUUGCAUAGAAUUGCGAACAUCUCGAUUUAAACGUCUUGCUGUCACCCGUUGCUAAAGUCGCGGAAAGACGACGGACAGUCGCCUGCCGCGUGCUAGUACGGACGUAGGGUUACAUGACAGAAUGUGUGAUUAGAGAGAAACAGACAGACGGAGCGGCAGCGUAGCGACCCCGAGUCAAGCGAACGCUUUACACCCUUCGGAGCUUGAAAUAAACAGUUCACCAGAGGCUGCAAAGCAGGAUCACCACAGAUACUGAGCGUAACGCAUCAUCCAGCGAAAAACGACACUCUGUGUGUCCUUCACGAUCGCAGAAACGUGCAAAUAGUCUAGCUAGCACAAUUAGCAUAGUCGGUUUGGUUGUCAAUGCUUCGGGCCAGGCGGCACCGGAGAAAGCUAAUACUGACUGCGAGUAGCAAAAUGAAAUUCGCACUGCGCCCAGCGGAAACUGAAACACUGUUUUUGCAUUGCCACGCUACACACAGAAUGUAAAGGAAACAGGUUUUAAGGAAACUGGCAAGAGUUGGAGCACCUCUUUAACCUUGAGGUAAACAGUCCAGCAUUUCAGUUGGAGAGGAAUAAAUAAGAAAGAGAUUAGUGUGUGUGUGUGUGUGUGUGUGUGUGUGUGUGUUUGAUUUCUUUUAAAUAAAAAAAAAAGUAAAAAAAAAAAACAAAACGAUGAAUGAAACACAAUCGUGUACUGAAUACAUGUGCGGAUGGGAGAGGUAGAUCAUUUUGGUUAAAAACGGCACCUAUCGGCGUAUCUCCUUAAACAAUCAGCUUUCAGAGUCCUCUGCUCUCUCCUGUAGUCCGAAACACUACACACAACUCAAGCAGAUUUCCUUCCAGAUUACUCAUUAUAACUAGAACCCUCAUUAGAACUCUGAGCCUGAUCUUGCUAAUACGAUGGUGGGGCUAGACUGGCUUGUUCUCCUGUAUGAUCCAGCAAAAUAAUCCUAUCCCUAACUUCCAAAGUCGACCCGUCCUAUUAAUUAAGCUUUCCUCUUCCUAGCCCCACCCAUAUACUCAUAUAAUAUAAUAACCAGACUUGUUAGCAUAUGAACACAGAAGCCAGUAAUUCAGUAAUGAACGAUAAUCCCUUCCACUAGCUUAUGACGAUUCAGGAAGGAAUAACGUACAAAAAAAAAAAAAAAAGGUCACCUUCGGUUCUAAACGCUGACACACACACUGCUUUCGUGUUUUCAUUUCAGGUGCGUCACCGUUAACUACUGCAGCCAAACUGUGAUGGCCGGUGAUUUUGAAACACGAACACUUUGUUUUUUUUUAUAGUAUCAAUCUGCCCAGAGCAAAUGAGGUCUCUGUGGCGUCCCAGAACUUCUCAAACACAUGGAACGCCAAACAGGACAAGAAGUCUGCACAUCUGCUGUCUUAACUCGCCUGAUCGCCCACUUUUGCACAACAUUCAGGUGUUCUACGUAUGAUAGAGAGCUUGCGGUGGAGGGAAAACUGAAAACAGGGCCUUCGGAGUACUUUGAUUCAACAAAACGUCAACCGAAAUGAUUGAUUACACUGUUGAGAAAUAAGCAGGGGGGUGGUAAACCCUCGUGUGUCAGAUACAUUUGGGAUUCUUUCUUAGGGUGCUUUCACACUAAGCUUUUUUUUUUCCCCCUUGAUGUCAAGUGCUUUGACAUUCCUUGACAUCAAGUGCUUUCUUUAAAUCUCCUGAGCAAUCAGGUUGCAAGAGAGUGCUGGUGAAAAAAGAUUCUGGUUAGUGAGCGAAUAUAAGGAGAGUUAAAGAAAGACCUGCUGACUUGAAACGAUUUCAUUGGCGAUAUUCCAAAGUUAGGUAAGGAAUAUAACAUGUGAGGCAUAUUAUUAUAAGAAAAAUAAUCCACGUCACUCAAGUUGCGGUUGAUUUUCAUUCGUUUUCCUAGAACAGCACAUCUCGAAGCGUUUCUUUCCUCUUAUACUAAUAGCGACUAGCCAGUGAUUACAAUUUUAUGCCUUUCUUAUCCGUUUACCACAAUGGUCCAUUUAACGUUGUGGGAAGUCCACGAGACAAGUUAUUUCCUUCCGUUAUAACUGCUAUAAUCGCUUGGCCUUGUUAUACGGGUUCUUUUACAUAAUAAACAAACAAACAAACGACAAACCCUGCAGCUUUGUCAUAUUAGUGAGAAACUGCAAGUCCGCCAUAGUGAAGAUUCUAGAAAGCUACAGCUUUUCCUCUGACUGUUACAAAAUGCUUGCACUGGAGACUCCUUCCCUAAAUGGUUGCAAUUUGUUGAUUAUUAAGUUUAGGUUAUGUGGUGUGUUCACCAUACAAGUCCCUGUGAAUUAGCCAUUAUUACAGAAACAGUAACGGAGCACUUUUUGUGGUUGGGGGAAGAAGGGAAAAAAAAAUAGACGCAAAGUGUGAAAGCAUCCUUAUUGAGCUUAGCUAAGGCAACAGACUGCCCAUAAUGCUGAACUCUUCCCUGCUGAAACCAUGGUGGACGUAAUCCUAAAAAAAUGUGUGUAUGUGUUUGUAUAUGUGUGUGUGUGUGUGUGUAUGACUGCCUCGUUUCCCUUGUUGAGUUUCUCUUGAGUUAUCCUGGCGGUUUUUGUGAGUUCUGUAAGGCUACGGAGGCGACAACACUGUGUCUGAAAACAGGUGAAACAGGUUUGUACGUAGAAACAGCAGCCAUUUCCGCGUGUGUCCUUUCACAGCGCUGGACGACAAAGCACAUGCUCCUUAGAAAGAAUCCGGGUCGAAGCUUAAUUUACACAUAGUAGAAUGUACACGGGUAUGCAGAGAUUCAUCCAGUCCACUAGAUGGCGGUGAUGUCCUGUCCCGCUGUCCCAGUCGAGAGUCAGGUGUGUCCAUCGCUCAGAAAGCUCCUGUUUUGUACCUCACGAAGAACAUUCCAGUCUGGCUUUUUGUUCUCAUGAAGUAGUUUUAACACGAAAAACUUCCGGACAGAGGAGCUGGGAAAACAAAACAAAACAACAACAACAGCAACAAAAAUCAUCACAGCUCCAUCCUGUAGCAGCCAGACACCAUCAUUCCUCCUGUUUUUCCAUUUAAUUCCACAGAGCAGUUAAAGCUUCGAAGAGUCUUCCACAACACUAUUACGGCAGAAGUGUAGGCGUAAGAGGAGGCGUGCGGGUGUAACCGGUAUAUUUUCUGUAGAUAUACACAAGGGGCUCCAGGGUCAGUUCAUGUCCCUGAUGAUUGAUUGGUUUCAGGCAGCAUUUGUGGUGAGGACAGAAGUGAUGAUUCUGUCUCUUCUCCAAAAAUCUGAGAGUUCUAGCAAGGCUUUGUGCAGCAGCAAGAGUAUGGUAUGAGAUGUCUUGUUGAUUUGCCAAAAAAAAACAAAAUAACCCAAAAAAAACCCAGGAAAAAAAAGAAAGACAGAAAAAAAUCUCAUAAUAAUCAUAAUAAGAUCGUAACGAUUAAAGUAAGAGCAAAUGAUGAAUUCGCAUCUAACAAUCAUGAAUAGAUAAAGUCGUCAAAGCUUAUUGUCACCUCAGAGAAAAAAAAAACCUCCAAAGCAAAACAAAACAAAAAAAGAGAGCAAAAAUAUCAUAUUUGCAUAUUUCUCCCAAGCGUCUUUUCUUUUCUUUUCUUUUUUUAAACUAAUGAAUCAUCUUAGUACUUGCCUAUGCUUGUUUUCAUUAGACUUAAUAUGUACAGGAAUAAUAAAAGUGGUAUUUACAACGUACGACCACAAGAGAGCGGCACAAAAGCCAUAAACUGACGCGGCGUGAUACGUCUUCUAAAAUGUAAACUACCUAAAACGGUCCUAAAAACAAAACGAUUAACCCCGAUCAAAGCAUUCUGAGGUGAGGAGCGCCCAAUCUGAAACGUACGGGCGUGUACUGGCGAAAUGAUGGGCAACUGGCGGGGCAUUGGACUGCUGCUUGUAGCGUUUAACGGGAAACCUGUAAUAAUAAAAAAUUAAAUAAAAUACACAGGUUCGGUAUUAAGUAACAGAAUAUACUUAGUUAAAGGAGCAGAUUGUCAUUUUUAGAGCCCCCUGCUGCUUGUCAGGUGAAUUACAAUUAGAAUAAAAAAAAACAAAAAACAAAAAAACCCACAAUCAAGACUCCCAAGUGCAUCUGUUUUAACUGCAUAUGUCUUGUACCUUGCCUUUAAAGUGCUCCUGAAUUCAAAUGAGGUGUUUCAGCGUUUUUUUGUACCGGUACCUUAUUGUUAUGGACACCAGUACAAAAAACAAAAAGACAAAAAAUAGUUUCAGAGAUAUUCUCAUUUUCAGUUCUUGGAAAAUGAUUACAAAUUUUUGAUGACUCAUCCUGUACUAAUCUACCAAUGAAAUGUUCUCUAGAAUGUAUAUGUCCCGCCCCGGGGGACGAGGAGGCAUGUCUUUCUCUACAGUAGCAGCUCUUUAGCAGCAAACCUGGCUUGUGUUUUUGGCUUUGUGUCAUUCCAAACACCAUUCCCUUUUCAAACCAAAAAAAAAAGAAAAAAAAGAAAAAAAAAAGAGAGAAGUGGUCGGAGUUUAUGAGUUUAUUCAAUUCGAAGAAGGUGGAAUUUGUGGCGGAAGUUAAACGGGAAAUUGGGACGGCUGGCAAACCCGUACGCGGUGAGAACUCUGUCCUCCAGAGUUUAGUGGUGCAGUUUAGUGGAAAGAUAGUAUUUACGAGUCGAACGCGCAUGAACGCCAUCAUAAAGUCGUAAUUACGAGCUGAAAUUCAACGUUUACGUGUCUCCGAAGGUGAUUUCAGUUAUUAUGUGAUUAGUAUAUGCAGCAAGUUAUUGAAAUACAAGCAAAUUUCUUAACGUGUCUUUGUCGGGCUUUUUUUCAUUUACAAUAAAGCAAGCUAAUUUCCUGCACAAAAUACGACAACGUUGUACAAUUCCGAUAUAAUAUGUUAGGAUAACGUUUACAGUGGCUUCGUAAAUUGAUUAAAAAAAAAAAACACACCUGAUGUGCAUUCUUUGUUCUUCGUUUUCUAGAAAAUGUGACUCGAACGCGCCUGACGUCGUAAUUACGACUUUCCACCUCGUAACCACGAACUUCCCAGGAGGACUUGAACGCACCAUAAAACAAAGCUCUGGCUAAACUCCAUAUUCAGAUAUUUCGUCAAGAUACCGUCAAGUUUCUAUAGAUUUAGUAUGUGUGUAUCUCGAACACCGUCACCCUGACUUUUGGGUUCUAAAAGGAAAUACAUCAACAUACGCAAUCGAACCGUGUCUCUCGAACCAUUCCAUGAGGUUCGUUCAAGCAGCUCUGACUGGUUUGGGGCGGAGCUUGUUUACUGGGGCUUGGGGUGGGGGUGGGGCGGAGCUUAAACAAAGAAACAAAGGCACAUCAGGGCAAUGCUCCAAAUCUAUGCUAGUUUUUCAAAACGAUCUUUAAAUAAGAUAUAAAAUAACGUGUGUCGUUUAUUAAAAAAACGACCACCUUUUAAAACACCUUUAAAAAGUGUCUCAUCUACAAAUGAGGGCUCGCUCUCUUGUGGUGAUUAAAUAUCCUAUCUAUACAAACAUUCACUUCAGUGUAUGUGCCUGCUGCUUGUUAGUGUCCGUUUCUUUCAUAUACACAACAAAACACAUCUCUCCGCACAAGCACACGCACACACUCAAACCAAAGAGGCCUGCUAAUCCUAUUUUACAACGCUCAGCCAUACGCUUCAAUUUAGUAGAAAGCAUCUCUCUUAAAUAUAGUUAUUAGCUUAUAUUUAUAUUUCUUUUCAUAUAUGCAUAAGUACAUUCUUAAUAUUCCCCUUUAGCUUCCAAAACCCAUAGCCCUUCUCUGGACUUAUACAUGUGACCCUCCCUCCCCUCACACUAACACACACACACACACACAAGCACAAAACACCUCUAGAAAUUCCCCAAAACGGGAUACCAGACAUCCCCCGGCACUCUCCUGCCCUGGAGACACAAACAUACACGCUUUCACUUUUGUACUCACUCUCAAAACACACAGACACACAGUCUACUGUAAUAGGACUCCUCCAGAUGUCC